GACGAACGCUGGCGGCGUGCCUAAUACAUGCAAGUAGAACGCUGAGGAGAGGAGCUUGCUCUUCUUGGAUGAGUUGCGAACGGGUGAGUAACGCGUAGGUAACCUGCCUUGUAGCGGGGGAUAACUAUUGGAAACGAUAGCUAAUACCGCAUAACAAUGGAUGACACAUGUCAUUUAUUUGAAAGGGGCAAUUGCUCCACUACAAGAUGGACCUGCGUUGUAUUAGCUAGUAGGUGAGGUAAUGGCUCACCUAGGCGACGAUACAUAGCCGACCUGAGAGGGUGAUCGGCCACACUGGGACUGAGACACGGCCCAGACUCCUACGGGAGGCAGCAGUAGGGAAUCUUCGGCAAUGGGGGCAACCCUGACCGAGCAACGCCGCGUGAGUGAAGAAGGUUUUCGGAUCGGAAAGCUCUGUUGUAAGUCAAGAACGGGUGUGAGAGUGGAAAGUUCACACUGUGACGGUAGCUGACCAGAAAGGGACGGCUAACUACGUG
rnacentral:rRNA from 1 species